rnacentral:rRNA from 1 species
CGACCUGAGCUCAGGCAAGACUACCCGCUGAACUUAAGCAUAUCAAUAAGCGGAGGAAAAGAA